GACGAACGCUGGCGGCGUGCUUAACACAUGCAAGUCGAACGAUGAACCCGGAGCUUGCUCCGGUGGAUUAGUGGCGAACGGGUGAGUAACACGUGAGUAACCUGCCCUUGACUCUGGGAUAACUGCGGGAAACUGUAGCUAAUACCGGAUACGACCCUCGGCGGCAUCGCCAGGGGGUGGAAAGAAUUUCGGUCAAGGAUGGACUCGCGGCCUAUCAGCUAGUUGGUGAGGUAACGGCUCACCAAGGCGACGACGGGUAGCCGGCCUGAGAGGGUGGCCGGCCACACUGGGACUGAGACACGGCCCAGACUCCUACGGGAGGCAGCAGUUGGGAAUAUUGCACAAUGGGCGCAAGCCUGAUGCAGCAACGCCGCGUGAGGGAUGACGGCCUUCGGGUUGUAAACCUCUUUUAGUAGGGAAGAAGCGAAAGUGACGGUACCUGCAGAAAAAGCACCGGCUAACUACGUGCCAGCCGCCGCAGUAA
rnacentral:rRNA from 1 species